rnacentral:rRNA from 1 species
UACGAAGGGUGCAAGCGUUAAUCGGAAUUACUGGGCGUAAAGGGUGCGUAGGCGGUUCGUUAAGUCUGUCGUGAAAUCCCCGGGCUCAACCUGGGAACUGCAUUUGUGACUGUAGGGCUAGAGUACGGCAGAGGGGGGAUGGAAUUCCGCGUGUAGCAGUGAAAUGCGUAGAGAUGCGGAGGAACACCGAUGGCGAAGGCAGCCCCCCUGGGCUAACACUGACGCUCAGGCACGAAAGCGUGGGGAGCAAACAGG